rnacentral:piRNA from 1 species
UUGUGGACCUUGUAGAGAAGGUGAGCAG